rnacentral:rRNA from 2 species
UAGGGUUUGAUUCUGGCUCAGGAUGAACGCUAGCGGGAGGCCUAACACAUGCAAGCCGAGCGGUAGAGAUUCUUCGGGAUCUUGAGAGCGGCGCACGGGUGCGGAACACGUGUGCAACCCGCCUUUAUCUGGGGGAUAGCCUUUCGAAAGGAAGAUUAAUACCCCAUAAUAUAUUUUCUGGCAUCAGAAAAUAUUGAAAACUCCGGUGGAUAGAGAUGGGCACGCGCAGGAUUAGAUAGUUGGUGAGGUAACGGCUCACCAAGUCAACGAUCCUUAGGGGGCCUGAGAGGGUGAUCCCCCACACUGGUACUGAGACACGGACCAGACUCCUACGGGAGGCAGCAGUGAGGAAUAUUGGACAAUGGGUGAGAGCCUGAUCCAGCCAUCCCGCGUGAAGGACGACGGCCCUAUGGGUUGUAAACUUCUUUUGUAUAGGGAUAAACCUUUCCUCGUGAGGGAAGCUGAAGGUACUAUACGAAUAAGCACCGGCUAACUCCGUGCCAGCAGCCGCAGUAAUACGGAGGGUGCAAGCGUUAUCCGGAUUUAUUGGGUUUAAAGGGUCCGUAGGCGGAUCUGUAAGUCAGUGGUGAAAUCUCACAGCUUAACUGUGAAACUGCCAUUGAUACUGCAGGUCUUGAGUGUUGUUGAAGUAGCUGGAAUAAGUAGUGUAGCGGUGAAAUGCAUAGAUAUUACUUAGAACACCAAUUGCGAAGGCAGGUUACUAAGCAACAACUGACGCUGAUGGACGAAAGCGUGGGGAGCGAACAGGAUUAGAUACCCUGGUAGUCCACGCCGUAAACGAUGCUAACUC